rnacentral:rRNA from 1 species
UACGUAGGGGGCAAGCGUUGUCCGGAUUUAUUGGGCGUAAAGAGCGUGUAGGCGGCCAUACAGGUCCGUUGUGAAAACUGGAGGCUUAACCUCCAGACGUCGAUGGAAACCGUAUGGCUAGAGUCCGGAAGAGGAGAGUGGAAUUCCUGGAUGUAGCGGUGAAAUGCGCAGAUAUCAGGAGGAACACCGGUGGCGAAGGCGCCACUCUGGGCCACGACUGACGCUGAGGAGCGAAAGCAUGGGUAGCAAACAGG